AUUGAACGCUGGCGGCAGGCCUAACACAUGCAAGUCGAGCGGAUGAGUGGAGCUUGCUCCAUGAUUCAGCGGCGGACGGGUGAGUAAUGCCUAGGAAUCUGCCUGGUAGUGGGGGACAACGUUUCGAAAGGAACGCUAAUACCGCAUACGUCCUACGGGAGAAAGUAGGGGACCUUCGGGCCUUGCGCUAUCAGAUGAGCCUAGGUCGGAUUAGCUAGUAGGUGAGGUAAUGGCUCACCUAGGCGACGAUCCGUAACUGGUCUGAGAGGAUGAUCAGUCACACUGGAACUGAGACACGGUCCAGACUCCUACGGGAGGCAGCAGUGGGGAAUAUUGGACAAUGGGCGAAAGCCUGAUCCAGCCAUGCCGCGUGUGUGAAGAAGGUCUUCGGAUUGUAAAGCACUUUAAGUUGGGAGGAAGGGCAGUAAGUUAAUACCUUGCUGUUUUGACGUUACCAACAGAAUAAGACACCGGCUAACUUCGUGCCAG
rnacentral:rRNA from 1 species